GACGAACGCUGGCGGCGUGCUUAACACAUGCCAGUCGAACGGAAAGGCCCUGCUUUUGUGGGGUGCUCGAGUGGCGAACGCGUGUGUAACACGUGAGUAACCUGCCCUUGUCUUUGGGAUAACUUCAGGAAACUGGGGCUAAUACCGGAUAGGAGCUCCUGCUGCAUGGUGUGGGUUGGAAAGUUUCGGCGGUUGGGGAUGGACUCGCAGCUUAUCAGCUUGUUGGUGGGGUAGGGGCUUACCAAGGCUUUGACGGGUAGCCGGCCUGAGAGGGUGACCGGGGACAUUGGGACUGAGGUACGGCGCAGACUCCUACGGGACGCAGCGGGGGGGAAUAUUGCACAAUGGGCGGAAGCCUGAUGCAGCAACGCCGCGUGCGGGAUGACGUCCUUCGGGUUGUAAACCGCUUUCUCCUGUGACGAAGCGUGAGUGACGGUAAUGGGUAAAGAAGCACCGGCUAACUACGUG
rnacentral:rRNA from 1 species